UACGAAGGGGGCUAGCGUUGCUCGGAAUCACUGGGCGUAAAGCGCACGUAGGCGGCUUACUAAGUCAGGGGUGAAAUCCUGGAGCUCAACUCCAGAACUGCCUUUGAUACUGGAGAUCUUUGAGUCCGGGAGAGGUGAGUGGAACUGCGAGUGUAGAGGUGAAAUUCGUAGAUAUUCGCAAGAACACCAGUGGCGAAGGCGGCUCACUGGCCCGGUACUGACGCUGAGGCACGAAAAGCGUGGGGGAGCAAACA
rnacentral:rRNA from 1 species